rnacentral:rRNA from 1 species
GUGGAUUAGAUACCCGGGUAGUCCACGCCCUAAACGAUGUCAACUAGUUGUUGGGGAUUCAUUUCCUUAGUAACGUAGCUAACGCGUGAAGUUGACCGCCUGGGGAGUACGGUCGCAAGAUUAAAACUCAAAGGAAUUGACGGGGACCCGCACAAGCGGUGGAUGAUGUGGAUUAAUUCGAUGCAACGCGAAAAGCCUUACCUACCCUUGACAUGGACGAAACCCGGGUGAGAGCUUGGGGUGCUCGAAAGAGAAUCGUCGCACAGGUGCUGCAUGGCUGUCGACAACU